rnacentral:lncRNA from 1 species
AAGCAACCCAGAGCCCUCCUCCCGCCUGCUCUGUGUAGGAGACAGCCUGCGGAGCCCACUGCCGGCGCGCAGAGAGCCCAGCAGCUCUUGAGUCCAGGAAGCAAGGGUGGGAGGAGGGACGAGCCAGUGGCAAUGACCCAGACCCGGACGACCCCCAUUGCUGAGCCAGCGGAGCUGCUUGGAGGCAGAGGUUGCAGUGAGCUGAGAUUUUGCGACUACACUCCAACCUGGGCAACAGAGCGGGACUCCAUUCCAAAAAAAUAAGAAAAACAGAAAAAUAAUAAUUACAUCUGCAAAGACCUUAUUUCCAGAGACAGAGUUUUGCUGUGUUGCCAGGCUGAUCAACUCCUGAGCUUAUGCAAUCCACUCACCUCGGCCUCCCAAAGUGCCAGGAUUACAGGCGUGAGCCACCUUGCCCGGCCAAGAUGAGGUAUUAUUACAUCAUUAUUGUAAGAUCCAAAGUCCACAAAUAUAUCAUAAAUCUGAAGAGGAACUGGGAGAAGCUUCUGCUGGCAGCUCAUGCCAUUGUUGCCAUUGAAAACCCUGCUGAUGUGUCAUAUCCUGCAGGAAUACUAGCUAGUGGGCUGUGCUGAAGUUUGCUGCUGCUGCUGGAGCCACAUGUAUUGCUGGUCACUUCACUUCUGGAACCUUUGCUAACCAGAUCCAAUCAUCUUCUGCCACCCACAUCUUCUGGUGGUUACUGAUUCUAGGGCUAACUAUCAGCCUCUCUCAGGGGCUUCUUAUGGUAACCUACCUACCUACCACUGCUGUAUGUAACAGAUUCUCCUCUGAGCUAUGUGGAUAUUGUCAUCCCAUGCAACAACAAGGAAGCUCAAUCACUGAGUCUAAUGUAGUGGAUGCUGGCCCAGGAAGCUCUGUGCAUGUGUUGCACCAUCUCCCAUGAUCAUGCCUGAUCUCUACUUCUAUAGAGAUCCUGAAGAGAUUGAAAAGGAAGAGUAGGCUGCAGCUGAAAAAGGAGGAAUUUCAAAGUGAAUGGACUGCUGUAGUGCAAGUUUACUGCUACUCAAUCUGAGGUUGCAGACUGGUUUAAAGACAUGCAGGUGCCCUCUGUGCCUAUUCAGCAGUUCCCUACUGAAGAUUGGAGCACUUAGCCUACCAUGAAUGACUGGUCUGCAACUUCCACUGCUCAGACCACUGAAUGGGUAAGAAUAACCACUGAGUGGCCUUAAGCUGUUCUUCCACAAGCUCUUAAACAAGAUGGAAAUAACGCUGAUGGAAAUAAACAACAGUUUCCAAGAAAACACGAACAGCUGAAGUGGCAAUGUUUAAGUAACAUCUGGUAGACUUUAACAUGAAUGUUAUUAAGCAGGAAAUUAUGAUCUUUUAAGUUGGAACAUGUAAUGUUAAUCCUUUUGCACCAAAAUAUCUCUUUAAGUCUAAAUUAUCCACUUUUUUUUUUAAUUCUUCGUAGAGAUAGAGGUUUCGCUUUGUUGCCCAGGCUGUUCUUGACUUCCUAACUUCAAGCAAUCCUUCUGCCUCAGCCUCCCAGAGUGCUGGGAUUAUAGGCAUUUGCCACCGUGCCUGGUGUACCCAGUUUCUGUUAUCAACAGAAUGCAGUGGUGUAUGGUUGCUAAAGGGUCCCAAGAUCAGGACCUACGUUAAGGUGGAUUUUGAAUUAUUUAAAAUUCUGAUUUUGUUUUAUUUUUAAUUAAUCUUUGGGGGAAGGAUGGGAGGGGGGUGAGGGUUGAAGAAGUAAACAUUGUACCUAUUGGAUACAAUGUUUAAUAUUUGUGUGAUGGGCACACUGGAAGCCCAAACCUCACUAUUACACAAUACAUUCAUGUAACAAGCCUGCACAUGCACCUCCUGAAUCUAUUUUUAAAAAUUUAAUUCUCUAGCACAGACUCCCUUUUUUUGGUAAGAUGGCGGGGUACGACUUAACUACUCGCAUCACGCACCUUUUGGAUCGGCAUCUAGUCUUUCCGCUCCUUGAGUUUCUCUCUGUAAAGGAGAUAUAUAAAGAAAAGGAAUUAUUACAAGGUAAAUUGGACCUUCUUAGUGAUGCCAACAUGGUAGACUUUGCUAUGGAUGCAUACAAAAACCUUUAUUCUGAUGAUAUUCCUCAUGCUUUGAAAGAGAAUAGAACCACAGUUGUUGCACAACUGAAACAGCUUCAGGCAGAAACAGAACUAAUUGUGAAAAUGUUUGAAGAUCCAGAAACGACAAGGCAAAUGCGGUCAACCAGGGAUGGUAGGAUGCUCUUUGACUACCUGGCGGACAAGCAUGGUUUUAGGCAGGAGUAUUUAGAUACAUUCUACACAUAUGCAAAAUUCCAGUAUGAAUGUGGGAAUUACUCAGGAGCAGCAGAAUAUCUUUAUUUUUUCAGAGUGUUGGUUCCAGCAACAGACAGAAAUGCUGUAAGUUCACUCUGGGGAAAGCUGGCCUCUGAAAUCUUAAAGCAGAAUUGGGAUGCAGACAUGGAAGACCUUACAUGGUUAAAAGAGACCAUAGAUAAUAAUUCUGUGAGUUCUCCACUCCAGUCUCUUCAGCAGAGAGCAUGGCUCGUUCACUGGUCUCUGUUUUCUUCAAUCACCCCAAAGGUUGUGAUAAUAUUGUUGAUCUCUUCCUUUACCAGCCACAGCAUCUUAAUGUGUCCACACAUUCUUCACUAUUUGACUACAGCAGUCAUAGCAAACAAGGAUGUUCGAAAACGUUGGCAGGUGCUAAAAGAUCUAGGUAAAGUUACUCAACAGGAGUCUUACACAUAUAAAGACCCAAUUACAGAAUUUGUUGAAUGCUUAUAGAUUAACUUUGACUUAGAUGGGGCUAAGAAAAAGCUGAGAGAAUGUGAAUCAGUGCUUGUGAACGACUUCUUGGUGGCUUGUCUUAAGGAUUUCAUUGACAAUGCCCAUCUCUUCAUAUUUGAGACUUUCUGUCACAUCCACCAGUGUAUCAGCAUUAACAUGUUGGCAGACAAAUUGAACAUGACUCCAGAUGAAACUGAAAGGUGGAUUGUAAAUGUGAUUAGAAAUGCAAGACUGGAUGCCAAGAUUGAUUCUAAAUUAGGUCAUGUGGUUAUGGUAACAAUGUACUCUCACCCUAUCAGCAAGUGAUUGAAAAGACCAAAAGCCUUUCUUUUAGAAGCUAGAUUUUGGCCAUGAAUAUUGAGAAGAAACUUAAUGACAAUAGCAGGUCAGAGGCUCCUAACUGGGCAACUCAAGAUUCUGGCUUCUACUGAAGAAACAUAAGGAAAAGAUUUUAAAAAAACUCUAAAAGAAAGAUGAAAUAAUAAAACUAUUAUAUAAAGGGUGACUUACAUUUUGGAAACAACAUAUUGAGUGUAAAUUGUGAAGAAUUGGAAUAAAAUUGACUGAUUCAAAAAAAUUUAAUUCACAAAAAAAUUUUAAUCCUUUUAAGCUAAUUAUAGAUUCACAUGUAGUUGUAAGAAGUUACAAAGAGGCUAGGUGCAGUAGCUGACGCCCAUGAUCCCCGCACUUUGGGAGGCCGAGGCAGGCAGAUCUCUUGAGGCCAGGAGUUUGAGACUAGCCUGGCCAACAUGGCAAAACCCCAUCUCUACAAAAAAUUAGCAAAGCAUGGUGGCACAUGCCUGUAAUUACAGCUACUUGGGAGGCUGAGGCAUGAGAAUCACUUGACCUGGGAUUACAAGUGUAAUCCCAGCCAUAGGCUGGGUGCAGUGGCUCACACCUGUAAUCCCAGCACUUUGGGAGGCCAAGGUACGGGUGGAUCACCUGAGGUCAAGAGUUCAAGACCAGCCUGGCCAACAUGGUGAAACCCCGUCUCUACAAAAACACAAAAAUUAGCCGGGCAUGAUGGUGCGCACCUGUAAUCCCAGCUACUCAGGAGGCUGAGGCAGGAGAAUCGCAUGAACCCAGGAGGCAGAUGUUGCAGUGAGCCAAGAUCACGCCAUUGCACUCCAGCCUGGGCAACAGAGUGAGACUCCACCUCAAAAAAAAAAAAACAAAAAAAAACCACCAGCCAUUUGGGAAGCCAAGGCAGGAUUGCUUGAGACCAACCAGAAGUUCAAGGUUGCCUGGGCAACAGAGCAAGACUGUCUCGAGACAAAACAAAAAGUCAGCAUCUUCUGCCCACUUUUACUUUAACAUACAUUUAUGGAUCUAUUGUCUCUUUCCCUGUUCUAAAACUUUAAAUUUCACAAGAAUGAAGAUUUUGCUGUCUUGUUUCCUGCUGUGUCCCCAGCAUAAACAGCAUAAAGAAGUGCCAUAAGAUAGAAAUUUUUGUUUUCUGUUCACCAGUAUAUCCACAGCACCUAGAACAGCAUCUGCUUUAGACUUAUUAGAUGAAGACUUAAAAAAAAAAGGAACAGCACUUCUGCACAUAUUUAGCACUUGAUACAUAUUUGUGGAAUAAUUUCUAUCAUAACUAGCAGCUACUUCCUAAUUUGAUAUGUAGCAUCCCGUAUUAACAGGACUUUUGUGAAUGGAGAGGACAUCUAUUUAUUCUUUGUUAUGUGCCAAAUAUAUUUGUAUUAAUCAUAACUCUUAAUAUUCCUUUAAAAUUAAAUAAUUGUUUCCACAGCUCUUAAAAUAGAAUUUAGGAACCUAGCAACAUGCCACUCAUCCAUUAACAGUGAUAAAUUAUUUAAUUUUAUAAACUUUUCAUUAAAGUAACUGAUAUAGUUUGGA